rnacentral:lncRNA from 1 species
UCUCGAUCUCCUGACCUCGUGAUUUGCCCGCCUCGGCUUCCCAGAGUGCUGGGAUUACAGGCGUGAGCCACCGCGCCUGGCCACCCAGCUAAGUUUUGUAUUUUUGUUGGAGACGGGGUUUCACCAUAUUGGCCAGACUGGUCUCAAACUCCUGGGGUCAAAUGAUCCGCCUGCGUCGGCUUCCCAGAGUGCUGGGAUUACAGGUGUCAGCCACUGUGCUCAGCUGGGAGAUGAAUUUUCAUUUAAUGACUUAACGUUUUGUUAGCACAGGUUUUGUGUGUGUGUGUGUGUGUGUGUGUGUUUUGUUUUUUGUUUUGUGUUUUUGAAACGGAGUUUUGCUCUUGUCACCCAGGCUGGAGUGCAAUGGCACCAUCUUGGCUCACUGCAACCUCUGCUUCCUGGGUUCAAGUGAUUCUCUUGCCUUAGCCUCCGGAGCAGCUGGGAUUAUAGGCGUCCACCACCACGCCCAGCUAAUUUUUGUAUUUUUAGUAGAAAUGGGGUUUCACCAUGUGUGGCCAGGCUGGUCUCGAACUCCUGACCUGAAGUGAUCCACCCGCCUCGACCUCCCAAAGUGCUGGGAUGACAGGCAUGAGCCACUGCACCCAGCCAACACAGAUGUUUAUUGAUCUUGGAGGAUACAUUGUGGAAAAUGUUUUUCUCUCUUUUACCAUUUUUGGGAAGAGGGAUAGGUAAGUGCAGGGAGUUUGUGCUGAAACAGUGCCUGGCAAUUUUUCAGAAAUGAAUUUGAUAUUGCGCUCCACCUUUGAGCUGUUCACACCUGUGGCUACCCCUGGAAAGCGCUGGGGUUGUUGAUGCUUUUGGCUGCCCGGCUUCCUGAGGUCUCGCUGCUUUCUGGGGAAAGAUGACUGGCUUCCAUGUGGGAAGCUUUUGUCUGACAUGUGAUGAUGUGGUCCUGCCUGCCACUGUGCACCAUCCCAGAGUUUUGGAAGAAACACAGAAAACAUGAGCAGAAUGAGACAAUUCCUUGGGCUGUAGUUUGGACCCAACUGAAUCCUGAGUGCUCUGUGGCUGACGCUGUCUACCUGUGGGAGAGACACACUCAGGAGUGGCCGUUUGGCCAGAAAAGAAGGUCAUGGCCCCUGGCCUGGACCCCGCCCUGCAGGGACACAGAAGCCACACCAUUUGCACCAUCCACGCCUUGCUCCAGAAGGCCUGGCCGCCUUCUCCCUGGGGGUGACUCAGGGAUCUGGUCUCAGACCAGACCCCCCUCCACAGCUGCCCGGUCCCAGACCCAUCUCUUGGAUUGAGAGUGUGUGGGCUGGACCCAGUGGGUCACUGUGGCAGCUUCAUCUGAGCUGAAGGUGUGGGUCCUCAGUGGCUGUGCGAUUGACCUCGAUGGGAAGGAGCGUUCUGCCCAUUUUCCUUGUUUUCAGUGCCACGGUGUCAGUCAGUGAUCUGAGGAAAUCCUGUAGGGGAAGGCAGGCUGCAGUGAAAACAGGAGCUGGUGAAACCGAGCCCUCUGCAUCUGCGAACGUGCCCUAGGUGCUGCUGCUGGGGACGUGGAUGCCGAGCGGAGGCCUGCGUGGCCUCCUGAGCAGCAGCAGCUGACCACCCGUCUCAUGCUGGACGGGACCCCUGGGCGGGUGGACGUGAGACCGCUGUUGGCCAGGGACGCCGCGCGGAGGCCUACGUGGCUGCCUGAGCAGCAGCUGACUGCCCGUCUCACUGUUGGCCAGGGCUUUGUGGCGUGGGUGUUUUCCAGUCUGCCUGGAGCAGCGAGAAGCAGCUGUGCGGACUGGUGGCGGUGGGAGGGUUUGCUGGGACUGAUGGGGACACCGGCCAGCUUGUCUUCUGUCCAGCAGCCCUGUCGGACUUGGCCUCCUGUCCUGUCGUUGGGAGCCCUGGCUGGGGCUGCUUUGAGCAAUGACGCUGGCCCAGAGCAGCUUCCCACAUGACCCCAGAGCCGAGGGUCUGCCCUGUCCUAGGUUAGGUCCCAUGGUUUAGAAUAAAAUCGUGAGGGAUGUUAAUUAUGGGCAUUGAAGACUUAAGGUUUUCCUAAAUUUUUAGUGAGCAGUGAUUGGCCUUCAAUACUUGUGCUGAGAGGAAUUUUAAGCCAGGGGAAGUGUAAGAAAAUGUUCCCAUUCAGGAGUUUCUUUCUUCCUCUGUAUGUAUUUUGUGGUGUCCACCUUUAACCACGUUUCAUCCAAAACGAUGAUGCAGCUUUAACAUGAAUGUUACAUUUUUAUUUUCAAGGAAUUAUUAUCUAUGUUCCCUUUGUAAAGGAAACAUAAUGUUGUAAAUCUUUUUAUUAGAUAAUGUAAAGAUGU